CUGACCUCGAUCAGACGUGAUUACCCGCUGAAUUUAAGCAUAUUAUUAAGCGAGCGAAAAGAAACUAAACAAGGAUUCCCCUAGUAACGGCGACGUGAACGGGGAAGAGCCCAACACCGAAUCCCUUGGCGCAAGUCAACGGGAAAUGUGGUGUUAAAGUAGCCCUUCGUGUCAGUCUAGCGCGUCUCAAGUCCACCUGAUUGUGGCUCAAGCGCCCAGAGAGGGUGUAAGGCCCGUAGAGACGCUCCGACUGAUUCCUGGGGUUUACCUACGAGUCGGCUUGUUUGGGAAUGCAGGCCAAAGCGGUGCGUAAACUCCAUCCAAGGCUAAAUACUGGCACGAGUCCGAUAGCGGACAAGUACCGUGAGGGAAAGUUGAAAAGAACUUUGAAGAGAGAGUUCAAUAGUACGUUGAAACCGCUUAGACGUGCAAACGCCGAUGAGGUGCUCAUACUGGCCUGAGGAAUUCAACUGCCUGACGGUGCGUGACGUCCUGGCUGGCUGGCGUUCCCGAUCUCUCUUUUGGGACGGGCGCUCGGUUGGCUAUCAGCUCCGACAUGGUGCACUUUCCUUGGUGGCCUCCGCCACGACCGACGACACUGGCUACCCGCGGCUGGGGUAAGGUGACAAACUUCUGCUUCGGCCAAUUUGUGUUAUAGACCCCGGCGUCGGACAUGGUUUGGCCAGGACGUCGAGCUUGCGAGCGCCGCUCCUUGUGGGCUCGCACUGUUGGCUAGCUUGGCUGCGCCGAUGCUUGCACUGGACAACCAGUACAGGUGACGGUUGUGGUCUUGUCGGUUCUAGUUGGCCUCUGCUGCGAAUUUGGGCGCCUAUAGUCUCGUGGUUGUACUUGUGGGGUAGACUAUCCGACCCGUCUUGAAACACGGACCAAGGAGGUCUAACAUCUCGGCGCACGCAGUCAUGGGAUUUUCUACGAAACCCAAAGGCGCAGUGAAAGUAAAGGCCUGCUUCUCGUAGGCUGAGGUGGGGAUCUCGUGCAUCGCGAUUGGCGAGCGCACCACCGGCCCGUCCUAUCUGUCUCUGUCAGUGGGGCGGCGCAAGAGCGUACACGUUGGGACCCGAAAGAUGGUGAACUAUGCUUGCGCAGCUCGAAAGUCAGUGGAAACACUGAUGGAGGAGCGCCAGCGUUUCUGACGUGCAAAAUCGAUCGUCAAACGUGAGUAUAGGGCGAAAGACUAAUCGAACCAUCUAGUAGCUGGUUCCCUCCGAAAGUUUCCCUCAGGAUAGCUGGCACUCGGGAAACAGUUUUUAUCCGGUAAAGCGAAUGAUUUAGAGGCAUUGGGUCGAAACGACCUCGACCUAUUCUCAAACUUUAAAUGGGUAAGAUGCUCGUCUCGCUUAAUUGAGGCGGGCUUCACCUCUCUAUAAACGUGAAUGUGAGUGCCCAGUGGGCCAUUUUUGGUAAGCAGAACUGGCGCUGUGGGAUGAACCAAACGCGGCGGUUAAGGCGCCCAAUGCGGACGCUCAUGAGACACCACAAAAGGUGUUGGUCGAUACUGACAGCAGGACGACGUGGCCAUGGAAGUCGGAACCCGAGCUAAGGAGUGUGUUAACAACUCACCGUGCCGAAUUCAACCAGCCCUGAAAAUGGAUGGCCUGCGCUUGGAGCGUCCGGGCCCCUAUACCGUGCCGUGGGGGCGAAGCAGACAAAAUAAUCGUGUGGGAUGUCCCAACGAGUAGGAGCGUCGCCGUGUGUGAGCGCAGAAGGUGCGGCCGUGAGGCCGGCUGGAGCCGCCACGGGCGCAGAUCUUGGUGGUAGUUAGCAAUUACUCAAGUGAGAACCUUGAGGACUGAAGUGGAGAAGGGAGGGUUCCAUGUGAACAGCAGUUGAAAAACAUGGUUCAGGCGUCCUAAAUCGGCCUAAGCGAUUCUAACUCCGUACCUAGACGAGCAGGUGACAACUAUCACUGAUAAAAUACCAAUUGUGAAGCUGUUAUAGCCUCUUCCGGAGCGAAAGGGAAUAUCGUGUUAUAUAUUCACACUCCCACCUUACCGUGGAGAUCCCCCUUUCGGGGCGGCUAGUGCCCGGUAACGCCAAACAAACGAACACAGAGACGUCGGCUCGAGCCCCGGAAGAGUUCUCUUUUCUUUGUAAGGAGCUGUACCCCCUGCCGAAUCGGCUUGUCCGACGGAGAUAGGGGCGUGGCUUCCGCUAAAGCAGCGCCGGUCUUCCGCGUCGUCCGGUCCGGCACACUCUAGUCGGCCCUUGAAAAAUCUGUGGGAAGACAGUGAUUUUCACGGUAGUAGCCCGUACCCAUAUCCGCAGCAGGCUCCCAAGUGAACAGCCUCUAGUCCUAGAACAAUGUAGGUAAGCGGAAGUCCGGCGCAAAAUGGAUCCGUUAGUAACUUCGGGAAAAGGAUUGGCUCUGAGGGCUGGGUCGGAUGGGCUGGCGUAAGAAGCUGUUCCGGUUUGGUGAGGACUGGCGAGAGAGGCUUUUCGGGCUUUACUCGGACCAUGCCGAGACCAGGCAGUAGACGACGUCAAGCUGUGCUUGUCGUGUGUUUCGGCGCGCAGCUUCGUCCGGCAUACAAACAGGCCAACUCAGAACUGGCACGCGACUAGGGAAUCCGACUGUCUAAUUAAAACAAAGCAUUGCGAUGGCUGUUGCUCGUUGUUGACGCAAUGUGAUUUCUGCCCAGUCUGCUCUGA
rfam:Macrostomum lignano unitig_43495, whole genome shotgun sequence.